rnacentral:misc_RNA from 1 species
UUUCCGUAGGUGAACCUGCGGAAGGAUCAUUAUUGUAUAACCGAGGUGCGAGGGCUGUCGCUGACCCGACAGGUCGUGCACGCCCGACUGCCCUCACACACAUCCAUCUCACCCCUAUGUGCACCACCGCGUGGGUCCCCCUUUGGCUUGUUCGGAGGGGGGCUUACGUUUUCACACAAACUUUGUAUGCAGUGUAGAAUGUAUUUUUUGUUUUUGCGAUCACGCAAUCAAUACAACUUUCAACAACGGAUCUCUUGGCUCUC